rnacentral:lncRNA from 10 species
CGUAAAUCUGCUACCUUACUCAGAAUGUCCCUGGCACAAGUUUCCAAGGAUAGACCCUCUGUGUGAAGGGGAGCAGCUGCCUUUGAGCAAUCAGCAGUAACUGCUUGGGGAGGCUUAGUCCCCUAAUAGUUCAGAAGUCACCUCCAAGGUCAGACGGACCCACAGCUGAACGCCAACACUUCCACUUCUCGGUAAGGCAUCUCAGGAAAGCCCAACGUGUAAACUGAUGACAGACUAUCCUGGAGGAAGAGGUGGGGCAGCCUGGAGUUUUCCUCUGGACAUCCUGAGAGGGAUACUGAAGCACUCAGGAGGGGUCUUAGACCUGCCCAAGCUCACUCACACAGUUUGAGAAGAGCUGCGCUUAGA